rnacentral:rRNA from 1 species
UACAUGAGUGGCAAGCGUUAUCCGUAAUUAUUGGGCGUAAAGGAUGCGUAGACGGUAAAAGUAGUUGCAAUUUACUAUAACAGUUGAUUGGGUCUUUUGCAAAACCUUUUUACUUGAGUUUUUAAAAGUGUGUGACAUUUGUAAAUUAGUGAUAAAAUACUUUAAGUUUGCAAGUAUCCUCUAUAGUGAAAACAACACACUAUUUUAAACUGACGUUGAGGCAUUAAAGUAUGGCCAUCCAAUAGG